UAAUAACCUGCUGCCUGUAAACAAGUUUUUUGCUAAUAUGAAACAUAAGGAAGAAUUAGUCGACACAUUUCCACACGACAAACGGAUAUAGUACCGAAGUAUAUAACAAAAAUUCGCUAUUUUCUUUUUUUAGCAGUUGCAUGCCUUUCCAUGAGGACAGCUUGAAUACGCAAAGAUCGAUUAAGUGACCAUAAGAGAUUUUUAUCACAAGUUUUAAACAGUGAGCUUUACUUAUUCAAAAAAGAUGAAGUUUACGACUUGCUUAUCUGUGCUGUUGUUCAUAGCACUCUUCGCCGCGAUUUCGGUGGAUGCCCGAUGGUGGCGUCAUCAUCGCCAUUGGUGGCCAGGAUCGUAUUAUGGCGGAUACUAUUCAUACCCUGUUUAUUCCUAUCCGGUCUCUGUGGGAUAUCCUUAUUACGGCGGUGGAUAUUAUUCGUCGUGGGGAUUCGGUCGCCGAUAACCACUACCGGUGACCUUUCGGGAUGAUGCCUCAUGGUAACCGUACGUGCUUCGCGCAUCCAGUGUACAUGAUAACCUCUCCCAUUCUCAAUGUCGAGGAUGAUUCCGUGCACCGUUUCGGUGACUUCCUAAGCAACUUCAGCCAAUUUCAAUCCGACGUCAUUUAACCACACAUCCCACUGUCUGUCAUUUGCUGUCAGCUGCAUGAUUUGAAAAUCAUGUAACUGACUUCCGCUUUGUGCAAUGUAAAUUGGUGUAAACAAAUGUUUGAGAAAUUUGCCAUUCCCGGUAACAAAUUGUCUCUACUCGUCCUUAAUUAUUUGUUAUUUGUUGCAACCACGCGCAUAAAGUGUGAAGUGACUUCAGAA